UACGUAGGGUGCAAGCGUUAUUCGGAAUUACUGGGCGUAAAGCGUGCGCAGGCGGCUUUGUAAGUCUGUCGUGAAAGCCCCGGGCUCAACCUGGGAAUUGCGAUGGAGACUGCAAGGCUUGAAUCUGGCAGAGGGGGGUAGAAUUCCACGUGUAGCAGUGAAAUGCGUAGAGAUGUGGAGGAACACCGAUGGCGAAGGCAGCCCCCUGGGUCAAGAUUGACGCUCAUGCACGAAAGCGUGGGGAGCAAACAGG
rnacentral:rRNA from 1 species